rnacentral:rRNA from 1 species
UACGUAGGGUGCAAGCGUUGUCCGGAAUUAUUGGGCGUAAAGAGCUCGUAGGCGGCUUGUUGCGUCGACUGUGAAAACCCACGGCUCAACCGUGUGGUCUGCAGUCGAUACGGGCAGGCUAGAGUUCGGUAGGGGAGACUGGAAUUCCUGGUGUAGCGGUGAAAUGCGCAGAUAUCAGGAGGAACACCGGUGGCGAAGGCGGCAUUCUGGACUGUAACUGACACUGAGGAACGAAAGCCAGGGGAGCAAACGGG